GUUACCGCUACCGUGCUUGCUCCACCCAGCCCGUGAAAGACAUCAAGAUUCCGCGCCCUCCCAAUGCAUACAUAUUGUAUCGCAAGGAACGACAUCAUUUUGUGAAGUCGACAAACCCUGUUAUCACAAAUAAUGAGAUUUCUCAAAUUCUUGGAAAGGCCUGGAACGAAGAGUCGAAAGAAGUACGAAUGAAGUAUAAAGAUCUGGCUCAGCAAGUCAAGCAAGCUCUUCUUGAGAAACAUCCGGACUAUCAGUACCGUCCUCGCCGUCCCUGUGAGCGUCGUCGCCGCCGUCGCAAUGCUCAGAACAACCAGAGCGGUGGAAACGUGUUGGGAGUUGCGCCCCCUCAGCUUCCAGGCAUUCCAGGCUCAGCUAUUUGUACUUCAAGCACCAUUAGCACUCUUUAGAAGCCCGGAAUUUCGUUAUUUGUCCCGGACGAAAUCGUGGUGACGUCCCGCAGCAUCCGUAUUAUGAUCUAAGAUGCAUAUUUUGAUCGCAAAAAGUUAAAGACAGAAAGCUAGGAGCUCACGUACAGCUCGGAUUCUGGAAUUUGAAGACAAAAGACUGUUCUCGAGAGCAAUACCCAUUUUUUAUUUCAAUUGAGUUAAAAACGCCCGUUUAUUCCGUCGUCAAGCAGCUCCUAUUGUUUGUCAUCGCAUGCUCAGAGCUGGCUCUUUCUGUCGCAGUACGCCCUUUCUGUCUCAACUAAGCGUACCAAAUCUUCCAAAGACGAUCGAUCACAGAUUUUGAUACAUGGUGCGAUAGUGACCGGUGGCGAGCUAAUGCUGGCAACCAGAGAUGGCUGUCUAUUAUGAGGAGCACAUUAAUUGAUUAAGAGACGCCACUACA
rnacentral:lncRNA from 1 species